UUUUUUUACUUUUUUGACAGUCAGAAAGGGUUCCGAUGCGGCGGCGAAUGCCGGCGGUCGACUCCCCGAUGGCUGUGUUAUCUUCUCCCAGUGAGGAGUUCUGGCGACUAGGGUUAGGGUUCGGCGCAGAUGGGGUUAUUUAUGUCUAUUCGCUUUUGAUUUGAACUGUCUAUUGCAUUUGAUCUAUACUGUCCGAUCGCGAUUAAAUAGGAAGUGAAUCUGAAACGUUCAUCGUGAUCCAAUCUGGACCAUCCAUCGCGAUUCACUCUAGGCUGUCCAUGCGCGUGGGAACGGACCUUAGUCGUUCGAUCUCGCGCACGCCAAUCGCCUACGUGGCUUCCCCCGCGUGGCCUCCCGCGUCAGCGCCUCUGCCACUUGGCGCGUCCUAGUUGGUCGGAGGUUGCUGACUGCAAGCAUCUGACGUGGCAAAUUUUUUCUAAAUUGAGUUUUGACCCCCUGGUUUCUGAUUUUUCUUUUAAAAAUACCCAAUGAACCCAAUUUUUUACCCAUUUUUCUCAAAAUUAUUUUUAAUUUAAUCAUCUGUAAAUUUUACUCCAUUUUUUAUUAAAAUAAAAU
rnacentral:lncRNA from 1 species